rnacentral:rRNA from 1 species
UACGGAGGGUGCAAGCGUUAAUCGGAAUUACUGGGCGUAAAGCGCGCGUAGGCGGUUUGGUAAGCUGGAUGUGAAAUCCCUGGGCUCAACCUGGGAACUGCAUCCAGAACUGCCGAGCUAGAGUAUGGUAGAGGGUAGUGGAAUUUCCGGUGUAGCGGUGAAAUGCGUAGAUAUCGGAAGGAACACCAGUGGCGAAGGCGGCUACCUGGACCAAUACUGACGCUGAGGUGCGAAAGCGUGGGGAGCAAACAGG